GGGUUGUGAGGUUAAGCGACUAAGCGUACACGGUGGAUGCCCUGGCAGUCAGAGGCGAUGAAGGACGUGCUAAUCUGCGAAAAGCGUCGGUAAGGUGAUAUGAACCGUUAUAACCGGCGAUGUCCGAAUGGGGAAACCCAGUGCAAUUCGUUGCACUAUCGUUAACUGAAUACAUAGGUUAACGAGGCGAACCGGGGGAACUGAAACAUCUAAGUACCCCGAGGAAAAGAAAUCAACCGAGAUUCCCCCAGUAGCGGCGAGCGAACGGGGAGCAGCCCAGAGUCUGAAUCAGCUUGUGUGUUAGUGGAACGGUCUGGAAAGUCCGACGGUACAGGGUGAUAGUCCCGUACACCAAAAUGCACAGGUUGUGAACUCGAAGAGUAGGGCGGGACACGUGGUAUCCUGUCUGAAUAUGGGGGGACCAUCCUCCAAGGCUAAAUACUCCUGACUGACCGAUAGUGAACCAGUACCGUGAGGGAAAGGCGAAAAGAACCCCGGCGAGGGGAGUGAAAAAGAACCUGAAACCGUGUACGUACAAGCAGUGGGAGCACCUUCGGGUGUGACUGCGUACCUUUUGUAUAAUGGGUCAGCGACUUAUAUUCUGUAGCAAGGUUAACCGUAUAGGGGAGCCGCAGGGAAACCGAGUCUUAACUGGGCGUUAAGUUGCAGGGUAUAGACCCGAAACCCGGUGAUCUAGCCAUGGGCAGGUUGAAGGUUGGGUAACACUAACUGGAGGACCGAACCGACUAAUGUUGAAAAAUUAGCGGAUGACUUGUGGCUGGGGGUGAAAGGCCAAUCAAACCGGGAGAUAGCUGGUUCUCCCCGAAAGCUAUUUAGGUAGCGCCUCGUGAACUCAUCUUCGGGGGUAGAGCACUGUUUCGGCUAGGGGGUCAUCCCGACUUACCAACCCGAUGCAAACUACGAAUACCGAAGAAUGUUAUCACGGGAGACACACGGCGGGUGCUAACGUCCGUCGUGAAGAGGGAAACAACCCAGACCGCCAGCUAAGGUCCCAAAGUCAUGGUUAAGUGGGAAACGAUGUGGGAAGGCACAGACAGCCAGGAUGUUGGCUUAGAAGCAGCCAUCAUUUAAAGAAAGCGUAAUAGCUCACUGGUCGAGUCGGCCUGCGCGGAAGAUGUAACGGGGCUAAACCAUGCACCGAAGCUGCGGCAGCGACACUAUGUGUUGUUGGGUAGGGGAGCGUUCUGUAAGCCUGCGAAGGUGACCUGUGAGGGUUGCUGGAGGUAUCAGAAGUGCGAAUGCUGACAUAAGUAACGAUAAAGCGGGUGAAAAGCCCGCUCGCCGGAAGACCAAGGGUUCCUGUCCAACGUUAAUCGGGGCAGGGUGAGUCGACCCCUAAGGCGAGGCCGAAAGGCGUAGUCGAUGGGAAACAGGUUAAUAUUCCUGUACUUGGUGUUACUGCGAAGGGGGGACGGAGAAGGCUAUGUUAGCCGGGCGACGGUUGUCCCGGUUUAAGCAUGUAGGCUGAUUGUCCAGGCAAAUCCGGAUAAUCAAGGCUGAGGUGUGAUGACGAGGCACUACGGUGCUGAAGUAACAAAUGCCCUGCUUCCAGGAAAAGCCUCUAAGCAUCAGGUAACAUCAAAUCGUACCCCAAACCGACACAGGUGGUCAGGUAGAGAAUACCAAGGCGCUUGAGAGAACUCGGGUGAAGGAACUAGGCAAAAUGGUGCCGUAACUUCGGGAGAAGGCACGCUGGUGUGUAGGUGAAGUCCCUGCGGAUGGAGCUGAGACCAGUCGAAGAUACCAGCUGGCUGCAACUGUUUAUUAAAAACACAGCACUGUGCAAACACGAAAGUGGACGUAUACGGUGUGACGCCUGCCCGGUGCCGGAAGGUUAAUUGAUGGGGUUAUCCGUAAGGAGAAGCUCUUGAUCGAAGCCCCGGUAAACGGCGGCCGUAACUAUAACGGUCCUAAGGUAGCGAAAUUCCUUGUCGGGUAAGUUCCGACCUGCACGAAUGGCGUAAUGAUGGCCAGGCUGUCUCCACCCGAGACUCAGUGAAAUUGAACUCGCUGUGAAGAUGCAGUGUACCCGCGGCAAGACGGAAAGACCCCGUGAACCUUUACUAUAGCUUGACACUGAACAUUGAGCCUUGAUGUGUAGGAUAGGUGGGAGGCUUUGAAGCGUGGACGCCAGUCUGCGUGGAGCCAACCUUGAAAUACCACCCUUUAAUGUUUGAUGUUCUAACGUUGGCCCCUGACCGGGGUUGCGGACAGUGUCUGGUGGGUAGUUUGACUGGGGCGGUCUCCUCCCAAAGCGUAACGGAGGAGCACGAAGGUUAGCUAAUCCUGGUCGGACAUCAGGAGGUUAGUGCAAUGGCAUAAGCUAGCUUGACUGCGAGCGUGACGGCGCGAGCAGGUGCGAAAGCAGGUCAUAGUGAUCCGGUGGUUCUGAAUGGAAGGGCCAUCGCUCAACGGAUAAAAGGUACUCCGGGGAUAACAGGCUGAUACCGCCCAAGAGUUCAUAUCGACGGCGGUGUUUGGCACCUCGAUGUCGGCUCAUCACAUCCUGGGGCUGAAGUAGGUCCCAAGGGUAUGGCUGUUCGCCAUUUAAAGUGGUACGCGAGCUGGGUUUAGAACGUCGUGAGACAGUUCGGUCCCUAUCUGCCGUGGGCGCUGGAGAAUUGAGGGGGGCUGCUCCUAGUACGAGAGGACCGGAGUGGACGCAUCACUGGUGUUCGGGUUGUCAUGCCAAUGGCACUGCCCGGUAGCUAAAUGCGGAAGAGAUAAGUGCUGAAAGCAUCUAAGCACGAAACUUGCCCCGAGAUGAGUUCUCCCUGAGACUUUAAGUCUCCUGAAGGAACGUUGAAGACGACGACGUUGAUAGGCCGGGUGUGUAAGCGCAGCGAUGCGUUGAGCUAACCGGUACUAAUGAACCGUGAGGCUUAACCUUACAACGCCGAAG
rnacentral:rRNA from 1 species